UUGGCUCGCUUGUCAUCAUUUCCAUUAUUUUAGCAAACACUAGAGCCAGCUGAACGGACCGUAAUUACUGGGCGAAAACACAACUUUUCUUUGAAAAUGACGCGGCAUCAAAGAAACUGUACUGCUGGGACUGUUUACACUUAUCAUGAGCGGCAGAAAGAUACAGUGACUCAGAGGUAUUAACGAUGUCUAGGAGGGCAGCACUGUCUUCACGGGAUCUUAAUGCGGCAACAUCCCAUGAACAUCCCAUGAGCAAGCUGCCAGUGCCCUCCAAGCCUCGCCAGGUGAAACUGAAAGUCAAGCCGUGGACGAGGGUAACGACAAAGGUGCAACCACGACUGCGGCUGUGAAGCCUGGAAAACCGAUCGUUGCUCGCAACCCAGCACCUGCUAGAAGCACAGCAAGGCCUAGGCCUACUAACACCUCAACAGCUAAGCCUGGCGUGACCAGCGCUUCUGACGGCCCCAAAAAGAUGGACGCAUCUACCACCAUACUGCGCCUGCAGCAGGAGAAGCGAGACCUGCUGCAGACAAACAUCGACCUGCAGAGCCAGCUAAGUGACUCCAGGGACGAAGUGGCCAAGGCCAAGCUUCACAUCGACCGUAUCCAGAAGGAAUUGGAUGUGCACGAAAAAAAAAUGGAAAAGAUUACAGAAAAAAUAACCAGGUACCUUAGUGAAAAAAUCGUUACAAGGUGGAUAAAAGCACAAUUUUUUCACCAAAGCAUCUCUCUUUUCGAAGAAAAGACGGACGCAAGAAAUUGGAUGAUUAAAAGGUCAAUUUAUGACUUCAUUAUGACGUCAUCAGCUAAUUAAAGCCAUUCCUCUGGCGAGAGGACCAUCAAGCUUCUUUUAUAACCCUUAAACGCUCCAUCUCAACUCAGUACUGGCUACGAUUCUCUGACCCAGAGGUAUAGAAACCAUCUUCAAAGUAGAUGGUAUUACCCAGGAAGGUAAACCCAUUGCAUUUUCCUCAAAAAGCCUAUAGAUCCUGUUCCAGAGCAUAUUCUUCAAUAUCGAGAGGAAGCUGUGGCACUGCUGCAGCUUUAUUCGGCUGCAACUUCAUUGUUGUCACUGACCAUUACAACCAUUGGUUACAAUUUGGUGCAAAAUCCUAGCCAGUGCACCACCUCGCUUGUAGCGUCUUAAGCUACAAGGAUACGACUUCAACGAUGUCUACAAACCUGGUCCUACGAUGGUGAUCGCAGAUGCACCCGGCAGAUUGCCCAACUCUCCAAGCUCGACAACGUAACAUGUGAUGAAUCUGUAACUUAGAUACACUGAGAUGGUCAUACGACUGUAACUUAUGUUACGUUUUUUUUUGUCCGCCUAUCUUUGGAAUAAGUUUAAACAUUUAAGAUACCAAUAAUCAAUUACGAAAACUCUCUUGGCAUAGAAUUUGAACCAUUCUCUCUGACUUAAGAACAAAAACUCACAUACCAAUUACGGUUUGCAUGUUAAAACGAGGUGCUAAAAUGAUCACCAGAAAAUCCAUGAUUUUAGCACCAAAUUUUUUUUUUUACCAAAAAAGGGCUUUUUUGCCCAAAACAACACCCUGGACUACAUUACAUCCCACUGACAUACCACUCGAAUGAAA